GACGAACGCUGGCGGCGUGCUUAACACAUGCAAGUCGAACGGUAAGGCCCUUCGGGGUACACGAGUGGCGAACGGGUGAGUAACACGUGGGUGAUCUGCCCUGCACUUCGGGAUAAGCCUGGGAAACUGGGGCUGAUACCGGAUCGGACUACUGGCCUCAUGGUUGGGGGUGGAAAGAUUUUGCGGUGUGGGAUGGGCCCGCGGCCUAUCAGCUUGUUGGUGGGGUAAUGGCCUACCAAGGCGACGACGGGUAGCCCGCCUGAGAGGGUGACCGGUCACACUGGGACUGAGAUACGGCCCAGACUCCUACGGGAGGCAGCAGUGGGGAAUAUUGCACAAUGGGCGCAAGCCUGAUGCAGCGACGCCGCGUGAGGGAUGACGGCCUUCGGGUUGUAAACCUCUUUCAGCUAUGACGAAGCGCAAGUGACGGUAGUAGCAGAAGAAGGACCGGCCAACUACGUGCCAGCCGCCGCAGUAA
rnacentral:rRNA from 1 species